GGGUCGAUGCCCGAGCGGUUAAUGGGGACGGACUUAAAUUCGUUGACGAUAUGUCUACGCUGGUUCAAAUCCAGCUCGGCCCA
rnacentral:tRNA from 1 species